rnacentral:rRNA from 1 species
UUCUGCUCAGGACGAACGCUGGCGGCGUGCUUAACACAUGCAAGUCGAGCGGUAAGGCCUUUCGGGGUACACGAGCGGCGAACGGGUGAGUAACACGUGGGUGAUCUGCCCUGCACUUCGGGAUAAGCCUGGGAAACUGGGUCUAAUACCGGAUAUGACCUCCUAUCGCAUGGUGGGUGGUGGAAAGAUUUAUCGGUGCAGGAUGGGCCCGCGGCCUAUCAGCUUGUUGGUGGGGUAAUGGCCUACCAAGGCGACGACGGGUAGCCGACCUGAGAGGGUGACCGGCCACACUGGGACUGAGACACGGCCCAGACUCCUACGGGAGGCAGCAGUGGGGAAUAUUGCACAAUGGGCGAAAGCCUGAUGCAGCGACGCCGCGUGAGGGAUGACGGCCUUCGGGUUGUAAACCUCUUUCAGCAGGGACGAAGCGCAAGUGACGGUACCUGCAGAAGAAGCACCGGCUAACUACGUGCCAGCAGCCGCGGUAAUACGUAGGGUGCAAGCGUUGUCCGGAAUUACUGGGCGUAAAGAGUUCGUAGGCGGUUUGUCGCGUCGUUUGUGAAAACCAGCAGCUCAACUGCUGGCUUGCAGGCGAUACGGGCAGACUUGAGUACUGCAGGGGAGACUGGAAUUCCUGGUGUAGCGGUGAAAUGCGCAGAUAUCAGGAGGAACCACCGGUGGCGAAGGCGGGUCUCUGGCAGUACUACGCUAGACAAG